rnacentral:rRNA from 1 species
AUCAGGCCUAACACAUGCAAGUCGAACGAGAAGCUUUCCUUCGGGGAAGUGGAAAGUGGCAGACGGGUGAGUAACGCGUGGGAACGUGCCUUUCGGUUCGGGAUAACUCAGGGAAACUUGGGCUAAUACCGAAUACGCCCUCCGGGGGAAAGAUUUAUCGCCGAAAGAUCGGCCCGCGUCGGAUUAGCUUGUUGGUGAGGUAAAAGCUCACCAAGGCGACGAUCCGUAGCUGGUCUGAGAGGAUGAUCAGCCACACUGGGACUGAGACACGGCCCAGACUCCUACGGGAGGCAGCAGUGGGGAAUAUUGGACAAUGGGCGCAAGCCUGAUCCAGCCAUGCCGCGUGGGUGAAGAAGGCCUUAGGGUUGUAAACCCCUUUCAGCGGGGAAGAUAAUGACGGUACCCGCAGAAGAAGCCCCGGCUAACUCCGUGCCAGCAGCCGCGGUAAUACGGAGGGGGCUAGCGUUGUUCGGAAUUACUGGGCGUAAAGCGCGCGUAGGCGGACUUUCAAGUCAGGGGUGAAAUCCCGAGGCUCAACCUCGGAACUGCCUUUGAUACUGAUAGUCUUGAGUCCGAGAGAGGUGAGUGGAAUUCCUAGUGUAGAGGUGAAAUUCGUAGAUAUUAGGAAGAACACCAGUGGCGAAGGCGGC